rnacentral:rRNA from 1 species
UGGGGAAUAUUGGACAAUGGGCGGAAGCCUGAUCCAGCCAUGCCGCGUGUGUGAAGAAGGCCUUUUGGUUGUAAAGCACUUUAAGCGAGGAGGAGGCUACUUGGAUUAAUACUCUAGGAUAGUGGACGUUACUCGCAGAAUAAGCACCGGCUAACUCUGUGCCAGCAGCCGCGGUAAUACAGAGGGUGCGAGCGUUAAUCGGAUUUACUGGGCGUAAAGCGUGCGUAGGCGGCUUCUUAAGUCGGAUGUGAAAUCCCUGGGCUUAACUUAGGAAUUGCAUUCGAUACUGGGAAGCUAGAGUAUGGGAGAGGAUGGUAGAAUUCCAGGUGUAGCGGUGAAAUGCGUAGAGAUCUGGAGGAAUACCGAUGGCGAAGGCAGCCAUCUGGCCUAAUACUGACGCUGAGGUACGAAAGCAUGGGGAGCAAACAGG